ensembl:lncRNA
CCAGAACCAAAUGACUCCUUUUAUUGCAAAGUCAAAACCCUUUUUUAUUGUGUUUAUUUAUACAGAAUUGUCACUAAGGGCUGCUCUAUGCGACAGCCAUGGGUACAUCGGUCCAAUCAUCAAUAAAUAAUCUUAAAUAAGAAAACAAACAGGUUGGAGGAAAGCAAGCUCGUUGUUCUGAACAAGGGAUGAAAGGAGGGUUUGCAAAAGAGCUUCAGAUGGAAAUAAAUAAUCUCUGUCAUCACAACUAUUUACAUGUUUUAAUGCACAAACAAUGCGCAAAAGAGGCCGGCGGGGGGCACUAAAGUAGUGGAAAAACUCACACCAAGCAGGAGUCCCACAGAGAGCCCCAGAUCUGCCAACAACAGAACAAUUCUAACAAAAAUUCUCAUCCCUCAGCAGCCAGGUAGUGAGAGCUGCAGCCCAAGCUACUAAAGAAGAAAAAGAACAGAGAACAAAAGCUAAGCCAGUGUGGUUCUAGGAACUGACUUGAUGGAGCUGGAGAACAGCUUCCCCAGGGCCAGGUUCCCCCGGCCCGGGUCGUGCCUGGGAAAUGAGCUGUGUUCUUUGAGCAGAUGUGGGAAGUGUCCCAGGGCAGCCCAGCCCCUCCCUAGGCCUUGCGCUUACAGCUGGGGGCUGGUACACACACCCCUUUACGGGGUGAGCAGCAGAGCCAAGGGGGCUGGCACCAGAGCUGCAGCACAGAUACCGCCACCCCAAAUCAGGGCAUUCGUUUAGGAGGUCGCUCUCUGGAUCAGUGGUGGCGAACCUAUGGCAGGCGGGUGGCAGCGGCGCACACACAGCCCUCUGUCAGCACGCCAUAGCCAAGCGUCUGAGUUGGUUUUUCUGAACUAAAACUUCAGUGUCCGGGUAUAACGGCAGUGUUGGCACUUUUCGAUAAAUAAGCAGGUCUUGGGUUGCAGUUGGGGAGUCCGUCCCUAAAAGGUUCGCCACCACUGAUCUAGAUCCUUCUGUUUGCGACUCGAGUCCAGCAUGCCCUGUGCCCAUCAGCCUUCCCACUGGCCUGUCUCUUACUUCAAGCAGCAAAUCUGUCUGCAGAGCUCUCUGCUAGGGGUCAAGAAGCAAAAGGAGGCAGCCUCAAUGCCCCUGGCAGGACCCUAGUCGGGGCAUCGUCCGAGAGGAGACGCCAAGGGCCCUGCUCGGAGAAGCCGGUGACAGUUACGUUUCUUCUGUGUUAACACCACGCUGAAGUCGCAAGCGCCAUACUAUUGUCUGUCCUUGUCUAUUCCACUACUUCAAACUGCUCCCUACAGCAGGGGAGGCCGGAGGACCCAUCCCGUCCUGUCACGCCUCACUUCUGCCAGCACACACCUGCAGAAGGGUGACAGGGAGCCCCUCCAGCAUACAUUCACACCGCCGGCCCCUGCAGUGGGAUCUGGGUGAACACAGGCCCUGCAGCCUCAAGCUGACACCGGAACAGAACAGAAGGGGCUCCUUGCCCUCCACCGGCCACCGCUGCUGUUCAUAAAGUCAGAAUAAACCCAGAAGCAGGGAUAAAUCGUUUAGGAAAAUAUACCUGUAACAUCCUAACCAUUUUCAUUCAUUGGUUUUAUUGUGACAUUUAUUACAAAGAAUUCUGCAUGUUUCCCUUCAGCACAGACACAGGUGCCCACCCUGGCCAUGUCCCUCCUCCUGCAGCUGGUGGCUGGUCACCUGGCUGAAGGGCGUCCUAAUCAUCUCUGGAACAAGUCAGGGUGUGGCGGGGACAGUACAGCUGAUGACCGCGGCUGAGUGAUCUUUCCUCACAGAUGUGUUUCCUGCCAGAUUUUGCCUGUAGUAGCUCAGGAUCUUGUCCUUAGGGUGCCACCGAUGAAAAAUGGAUCAAAAGCCACUUGGUGCUCCAAUUCCUAGCACUCUUAGACCUGUAAAACUGGGGAGGGACAGGGAGGCCCCCGGAGAAGAUGAUCAGUCUGCUGGUUCCUUGCCAAGGUGGGCGGCGGAGAUGCUGGGCAGUGCCACAGUGCAGACUCAAAUAAACGUGACCCCAAGGGCAGGACUUCCAUCAGGGGCUAGUGGCAGCCACAGGCCCGGACCACCAUGUUUCUGUAUUUCUUUAGGAUGACAUUGGAGCUGUCAGUCCGAAGUAGAGGACAGAGAUGGCAUUGAGCUGGGUAGGAGCACAGCAGGGCUUGGGCACGGUGUCCGGGUUGAUGAAGUGGACCUGCGACGCAUGAACGGAGACUGCACUGGGGACUGAACCUGCACCUUUACACUGAGCUACAUCCCCAACCCUUUCUAGCUGUUUAAAAUUCUGAGACAGGGACUUGGAUGCCACCAGAGUGCCUUUGAAAGCAAAGUAGGCCAGGAGUAAACACAAGGGAUGAAGG